UCAAAAGUCACAAGUCCUCGUCUCUCACGAGCCUUAAUCUCCUAUGGUUUGCUAUUCUAUGGUCUCCUAGGUCCAACUAAACCAUUUUCUAUUAUUCUUUUUAUGUUUCUUUUAUGCUCUGAUACCAUCUUAUUUGUCAUACCCUGCGACCACCCGCCUAUUCGGUCGGGUCGCGGCGCCGCCGACAGACCGCCGAACGGACAGGGUUUCCCCUGUACCGCGGACAGAGUCUCCCCUGUACAUUCAAGGCGUCGCAAUCAAUAUAAUGUACAAAGUUUCAACCAGGAACACAUUUCAAUCAAAGAUUGCAUAAGGAAGUAUCAAAAACAUAAUUUACUUGCUAUUACAAGCAUUCACAUUCACUAGAUAUAUUUUACAUCAUAAUUACACAUUUUACAUUUAACUUUCAAAUACAAUCAUACUUUUAUUACAAAUUAUUACAAUCUUAUUCCUUUCAUUUUCUAACAUCCCUAA
rnacentral:lncRNA from 1 species